ACAUGCAUACAGCGCACCGCUGCCACGGCCACGGACCGGUCGUCCUCGAACGCAUACUUGUUUUUUCACAACAUGACAUCUGUUGAUUACAAACCGCUCUCGAUAACCUUGUCCUUGAUUAAGCCAAAAUAUAGCUCUUCUCGACAUUGUUUUUGUUUUGGAUCACGUUUUACUGUUUAAGUGUUUCUAUCUUCUGAAGUUCUCUUACGCGUUAUUAUUGACAUUUUUAAUUACGAGUUAAAACUACGAGAGGUUCAUCUUCUUCAGCUGGUACCGGUAGUGGUCGUGCCGUAUUCGUUCACUGUCUGUGGUCACUCGCUCCCGGGCGCGGCCGUCCCAGCAGAGCCAGCCAAGCAGUUCGAGCGAAAGCGACGAGUAAAGGGACAUGAACUCGGAGUCCACACUUUGUUUCUUCAAGUCAACGGGCAACUUGCUCAAUGGAAGAGGACUGGGGAAGUGUACAACAGGCCUGUCGUUUCCGUCCGGCUAAACAAAGAGAUGAUGGAGAACUCAGAAGUACCACAACUGAAUUGGGAAGGACAGUGAGAAGUCUCUGGAAGACAGGAGAUGUGUGUGUAUUCGAGUUUUGUCAGACGUGUAUCAAUCAGAUAUGAUUAUAUACGUCUGGGACCGACCUUUAACAUCACAAUCUGAAAGACGUGACCAGGGCUCGAACCUCUGCAUCAAUUUGUAACUUCCCCACAGCUUGGAUUACAGGCGCAAGCCACAACGCCCAGGACAGGAGAGCUGUCACAGAUUAUUUUACAAAUUUGUUAACCCGGGUACAUAGUUACAUACAUGUUGUUUACAUAAUUUUGAACAUGCACCACAGGCCACAAGUUAAAGGACAAGUUCAUCCCUACAAAAAGUUGAUUUGAAUAAAACAAGAAAAA